rnacentral:rRNA from 1 species
GGAUGAACGCUGGCGGCGUGCCUAAUACAUGCAAGUCGAGCGAACAGAUGAGGAGCUUGCUCCUCUGACGUUAGCGGCGGACGGGUGAGUAACACGUGGAUAACCUACCUAUAAGACUGGGAUAACUUCGGGAAACCGGAGCUAAUACCGGAUAAUAUAUUGAACCGCAUGGUUCAAUAGUGAAAGACGGUUUUGCUGUCACUUAUAGAUGGAUCCGCGCCGCAUUAGCUAGUUGGUAAGGUAACGGCUUACCAAGGCGACGAUGCGUAGCCGACCUGAGAGGGUGAUCGGCCACACUGGAACUGAGACACGGUCCAGACUCCUACGGGAGGCAGCAGUAGGGAAUCUUCCGCAAUGGGCGAAAGCCUGACGGAGCAACGCCGCGUGAGUGAUGAAGGUCUUCGGAUCGUAAAACUCUGUUAUUAGGGAAGAACAAAUGUGUAAGUAACUAUGCACGUCUUGACGGUACCUAAUCAGAAAGCCACGGCUAACUACGUG